rnacentral:tRNA from 1 species
UGGCUCAAAUGGUAAAGCAUCUGCCUGCAGUGCAGGAGACCCAGGUUCGAUCCCUGG